GAGUUUGAUCCUGGCUCAGAGUGAACGCUGGCGGCAGGCCUAACACAUGCAAGUCGAACGGCAGCGCAGCAGUAGCAAUACUGUGGGCGGCGAGUGGCGGACGGGUGAGGAAUACAUCGGAAUCUACCUUGUCGUGGGGGAUAACGUAGGGAAACUUACGCUAAUACCGCAUACGAACUACGGUUGAAAGCGGCGGACCGCAAGGCGUCGCGCGAUUGGAUGAGCCGAUGUCCGAUUAGCUAGUUGGCGGGUAAAGGCCACCAAGGCGACGAUCGGUAGCUGGUCUGAGAGGAUGAUCAGCCACACUGGAACUGAGACACGGUCCAGACUCCUACGGGAGGCAGCAGCGGGGAAUAUUGGACAAUGGGCGCAAGCCUGAUCCAGCCAUGCCGCGUGUGUGAAGAAGGCC
rnacentral:rRNA from 1 species